rnacentral:lncRNA from 1 species
CCGGCACAGAAAUGGCAGGUGGUCGGAGAAGAGCGCACCACCAUCCCAAGGGUCCCAAAUCGAUGGCCGGCGACGACCACCGGCAUCCGAAAACCAAAAAAAAUCGAAACCUCUCUCAUGACAAAAUCUGAUGACUCUGAUCACCGACGAGCGUGCACACCGGCACGGGAAGGAAGGGAGAGAAAAGAGGAAGAGAACCACA